rnacentral:rRNA from 1 species
AUUGAACGCUGGCGGCAGGCUUAACACAUGCAAGUCGAGCGAGCGGCGGACGGGAGAGUUAUGUCUGGGAAACUGACUGAGGGAGGGGGACCACUACUGGAAACGAUAGCUAAUACCGCACUCCUUCAGCUGUGCCGCGGUGGGAUUAGCUAGUAGGUGGGGUAAUGGCUCACCUAGGCGACGAUCCCUAGCUGGUCUGAGAGGAGGAACAGCCACACUGGAACUGAGACACGGUCCAGACUCCUACGGGAGGCAGCAGUGGGGAAUAUUGCACAAUGGGCGAAAGCCUGAUGCAGCCAUGCCGCGUGUAUGAAGAAGGCCUUCGGGUUGUAAAGUACUUUCAGCGGGGAGGCGUUACCCGCAGAAGAAGCACCGGCUAACUCCGUGCCAGCAGCCGCGGUAAUAC